rnacentral:rRNA from 1 species
UACGUAGGGCGCAAGCGUUAUCCGGAAUUAUUGGGCGUAAAGAGCUCGUAGGCGGCUAAGUAAGUCAGGUGUGAAACCUCCAGGCUCAACCUGGAGACGCCACUUGAUACUGCUUUGGCUUGAGUUCGGUAGGGGUAAGCGGAAUUCCUGGUGUAGCGGUGAAAUGCGCAGAUAUCAGGAGGAGCACCGAUGGCGAAGGCAGCUUACUGGGCCGAUACUGACGCUGAGGAGCGAAAGCGUGGGGAGCGAACAGG